AACGAACGCUGGCGGCAUGCCUAACACAUGCAAGUCGAACGAGACCUUCGGGUCUAGUGGCGCACGGGUGCGUAACGCGUGGGAACCUGCCCUUAGGUUCGGAAUAACUCCCCGAAAGGGGUGCUAAUACCGGAUAAUUUCUUCGGACCAAAGAUUUAUCGCCUUUGGAUGGGCCCGCGUUGGAUUAGCUAGUUGGUAGGGUAAAAGCCUACCAAGGCGACGAUCCAUAGCUGGUCUGAGAGGAUGAUCAGCCACACUGGGACUGAGACACGGCCCAGACUCCUACGGGAAGCAGCAGUGGGGAAUAUUGGACAAUGGGCGAAAGCCUGAGCCAGCAAUGCCGCGUGAGUGAUGAAGGCCUUAGGGUUGUAAAGCUCUUUUACCCGGGAUGAUAAUGACAGUACCGGGAGAAUAAGCGCCGGCUAACUCCGUG
rnacentral:rRNA from 1 species